GGGAUGUGGACCAAAGAGUUCCAGAGGACUUGUGCAUCAUCCAUGUUUUAGGAAAAGAUGACUCCCUGGUCCUACCUACAGUUCUCUGAAAGAUUCACAUUCAGAAAAAAGGUAAGAAUAUUUUGCUUUUCUGAUGCUUCUCCAUCAGAGAACUGAGGAUGUGUUUUGAAGCAAGCUUCUCAAUUUUCUAGCUACUUACUGAGGAUACCCCUUUCUUUCUUAAUGCAUUGGAAUCACCCAGGAAGACUUAUAACAAUUAAAAUAAAAUUUAAUAAAAUUUUAAAAGCAUAAAAAUGAAAGGUGUGUGGUUGACUUAGCCUGAAGCUGGACAUCUUCUACACAUGUAGAGGGUUUCUAACAUGAGAAUGUGAACCCCAACGGGUCAGGGUUUCUGUCUCAAUGGAGAAAACCCUACACAUAUUGAAGUGGCCUUGUUCUGAUCAAGCUUAUAUUGCAUUGACUGUGGAGCAUUGCUGGCAUGUGUGUCGUCAUCGUCAUCAUCAUCAUCAUCAUCAUUGAGGUGGGGCUAACUCCAAACGUUCCCACUGACUCCUUUACAUGUUUAGAAAAGGACAUCUGGAGAGGGCUAGUUUCAAAGUAGUUCUUCCAAACAGUUGUGACAAAUGGUGGCAAUCCAAGAAUUAACAGAAAUAUGCUGUGCUUUACAUGCAAUGAGAUAGCCCCUUCUACUCUCAGCAAGUCUAUUAUUAUGGAGAACAACAAUAGAUCUUAAAACAUGUUUUGAAUUAUCUCCAAGUACUAAGGUCGUCAUGUUCCCAUAUUCUUCUCCCUACAAAGUUUGCACAUGGAUUGCAGCUCUAACAGCUCAGCAUGGUGGAACGAUCAUGUUUCCUCUUUGCAAUCUCAUAAAAACAGCCUGUGUAGGGUACAGUGAUACCUCAGGUUACAAACACCUUGGGUUACAAACACUUUGCGUUACAGACUCCACUAACCCAGAAGUAGUACCUCGGGUUAAGAACUUUACCUCAGGAUGAGAACAGGUUAAGAACGGACCUCCAGAAUGAAUUAAGUUUGUAACCAGAGGUACCACUGUAUAAUGGUUGGUAGGGGGAGAGCUUCAGAAGCACCUAUGCAUGGUCCCUGAAGGGAAGGUGUUCUUGGAAGCAGUGGCUCAGUUUGUAGCUAACCAGUCAAGCAUCUUCCAGAAUGUGCUCUUCAGAAUCCAUGUGUGACGCAGAGCAGUCAGGGGUGUGUGUGCGCACUGGGCUGCCUCCCAGACAGCUGGUGGGUCCCUUCCCUCAAUAAUCUUGACAUUAUCUCCCAAACAGUUGUUGCUUGUUUUCUUUGGCCUGGUCUGUUAUUUACAGUCCCCAUCCUGCUUAUGGUUCAUGGUUUCAUUUUUCUUCUGGUGUUUACUGAGAUCUUUCCCGAGUAUUUGUGACGUGAUUUUAUUAGGGGACAUGGGAGAGAUGUCAGACACUCACCAUCUGGCUCAUCCUCUCCCACUAGGUUCUCAGGCAAAGCUUGUGAAGGAUUCACUGUCCUACACCCAUCAGUUAGGCUCAUGGCUACCAUGCCUAUUGUUACAUGUGCUCCACUUUCUCAUCUGGUGAGAAGUUCUAGGGGCAGGGCUACUGGGGUAAUUUCCCAUUGGAUGGAAGACAGCAUUGGAGAAUCAAGAUGUGCUUGUAAUCAGUUCUAAUCUUCUAAAAAAAGAGGUGCCAGAGCUCACAAUGAACUUUUUUGUUCUCUUAGAAUGACAAUGGCAUCCACCUGAGAGAUGCCAGAGCUGAGCUAUGGCUGAAAAAAGCACUGCUUGUAACAAUUGCUUUGUUUAGAAACUAACAAGCAUAAGUGAAGGCAAAGAGGGGCUCCUUCAAGGCAGAAGCUUCUACUCUCCAUAAGGUCCCCAGAGAGACCUUCAGGCAACUCUCAUCUUCCAAAUUGUCAACCUCUUUUUGUUUCACACACACACAGUAGGCUAUGUGUCCUACUUUAUAGAGGGCUGUCCUCUAUUUGAAGGCAUCUUCUAUUUGAAAGUCUGUCUAGGUCCAAAUUUGGGGUGAAGAUAAAGAACCCUAAGAAGGGAGGACAGGGUUUUUGGAGUUGCCCAGCAAUACUUUUCACCUGGGCAGCAGACUGAGCAAGAACAUAGCUUAAAAAAAAUAAAAAAAAAUAAUUUAAAGCUUACGGUAAUUGUUACAUGUACCUUCCCGUUCUCCAGUGCUGUGAUAUUGUAAAACCAUGAUUCUAGGGUGUUUCAGAAGACAAUUUAUCCGAAACAUGAAUUGGCCUAAACAAAUCCUUAACUUGCAAAAGUUCCUUCCUUUUCCAAUUUGACUAUCAUAAUUAUAGCUUUGUUAAUCAUUUAGUUCUACAUCUUUGAGGAUAACCUAGUCAAAGAUAAGCACUUUCUAAUCCCAUGUAUUUAAAUGGGAGGGAUUUUAGCCUGUGUUUUUUAUUCACUCGUCCAAACCAUUGGGAGUCAGAAAAGUGCUUAACUACCGCAUUUUAGAAUCCUAUGAAUAUGGCUGAAGGACUGGAAGGCAAGCUAUAGUCUGCAAUGUGUAAAACACUCUGCCAAAUAUUGUGCUUAUAGGUUUUAUACAUUUCUAUUGAUGGUGUCAAUAAUUUUCGGUCUUUAAAGUAUUUUGUACAUUCUCCCCUCUGCUGAGAAACCUCAUUGCACACACCUGGUCCACUCACACAGUCAGGUUUCUUUUUAUUAAGGAAAGGAAUUCUUCACAUGUUCUGAGGCUCUCAGCUCAUGCUGGGAAUUUUUUAAAAAAAUCCAAACAUAGCAAACCUCCUGAUUAGAGAUGAAUGUCAAGGAUCAGUUUGGCAUCUAGGGUGUGUAUGGCAGGUGUUUGUGGAGAUAACUAGUCCUUGGCUUUUGGGAACUUGGACUGCACUUUCCUGCCAGCAAAGCAUUGCUGUGUUUGUGGGAAUGUGGCAGCCUCGGAGGGAGGGACAUGUCAGUGCUUUUGUAUUCCAGCAGGAGUUUAUCUCAUGGGAUCUCACCAGGUUUCCUGGGUCAUGCUACACCUCUUUGUUUUCUGAAAACACAGGAACAGGCUUCUCCAGAGCCAAGCGGCACUCAAACUUCUCAACCUCCAUGCAGUGGCAACAGCACACAAUGCAGUCCCACCCCCCACCUAUAAGGGAAUAUGAGACUGGGCUGGGGGGAGAGGGGAGGGAGGCUGAAAUUCAUCUGUUUCCUUCAUGCAUUUCCAGUUCCACACCAGCACUGUCUCAAUUGCAGGGUUCCUUCACUUUUCAGCAGGCAGUAUUUCUUCAUAUUGGGUAGCCAGAGUGCCCCCCCCCCCCAGCACUGCCCAGGAGAAUAAUAUUAGGCAGGGCCUGCAUCAGGGAAAGCCUAUAGUGCUCUUGGGGGGGGGGCACUGCCAGUCCCCAGAGCCUCUUGGCUCUGCUGUGCCCAUAUCCUUGCUUCUACUGCUUGUUCACUUGCCUUUCCAAGUGAGCAGUAAGAGGAGUGAGGAGUUAGAACAGGAACCUCCCAUUGGUGGUGCCAAUUGGGCCAGAGAGAGAGACAGAGAAGGAAGGGAAUGUGCUGUGACAGCAGUGGCAAGGAAGAGCAGGUGAGGGGUGCCUACUGAGAGCAUCUUGCCAAAGGACCCCCUGGAACUGGCAGUAACUGUAGGAUGAGGAAUCUUCACUUGCAGAUGGCUUCCCAUUGCUCCUAAGAUCGCUAAGUGUGUUCUCUUUGUGGCAAAGUAGGCUAUCAGAAUAUGUUUAGGGAAGCGUUUAAGGUUUAAUAGACUAUUGCAUUUUAAUAUUCUGUUGAAAGCCACCCAGAGUGGCUGGGGAAACCCACCCAAAUGGGUGGGGUAUAAAUAACAAUAAAUUAUUAUUAUUAUUAUUAUUAUUAUUAUUAUUAUUAUUAUCUCCAGAUGAAAUAACUCCACACAUGAGCUCAGCAGGAACCCAUUGAUCUGGAGAUAUGAUGUGUUUCCCCGAUCCUUUAAUGCAAAGCUAGGGGUCAUCCAAACUAGCAUGGUGCCAGCUUUGUGCCAGGGCCAGAAUGAGCAAAAUACAUUUUAUUUUAUUCUAAAUUAAUAUUUGUUUAUAAGAGUAUUUAAAAACCACCAACACAUAAAAAAUAUCAUGGUGCUGUGCAAUGGAAUCAUUCUAGCAUCAAAUGCUUUCCACCAUUCCAGUUCCUAUUGAGGGAAUGAAGCCACAGGUUGCCUCUGGACCUCAAUAUAUACCUUGUGUCCAGUCCAAGAAAUGGGAAUAUUCAAAGUCUGUGGAGGGCCCCAUCCCUUAGCCUCAGAGGGAUUGCUAUUUCCCCAGAUGCCUCUGCAUGUCAAAACCCUUUGUAUGUCCUGCUCCAACAUUUCUGGUAAAUAAUUGGUGACGCCAUGUCAUGAGGCCUGUGAAUAACCCCAGCGUGACUUGUGAGCCUAGGAUGGACAUGGCCACCCACGGCCCGACCCCCUAGAAGGGCAAGGCUACUUUUGUUUGAAUUCCUGGAUGACUAAAUGCUUGGGCUGAUUCUGCCCAAACAAGGGGAUGUGGGUAUUAUGGGUAUAUAAACCAUGUGCAGUCUUAGUUUCAGCAAGGCCUCAAUAUCUCUUUUCCCAGCACCAGCUCUGGAAUCCACAACUGAGCUUCUGAAAGAACCCCCCAUUUUCUCCUGGGCUCUUCAGAGAUCCCCCCCCCCCGCCCCAGUCCAUAUUUUGGUCUCUCUAAUGUUUGCAGGUUGCAUGCCAGAGAACCGCACUGAAGCUUUGAAACUAACAAGGAUGUCGAACACGAGGCAGCUGCAGCUUCUGCCGCCAGUUCCUUCCCUGGUCGUUUUUUCUGCUCCCUCUCUUGCCUGCUCUCUCUAUAAGGAUUUGGGUGUGCUGUUCAGGGAUCAUCCACAGAUAAUGACAAACCUCACAUGAGGAAUGGGCAGCAAGGUUGUGACAAAGGAGGAAUUGGCUAUUGGGUAAAGUGGGGGUAAUUUUCAGCAACUGCUAUUGUCUGUGCAUCCAAGGCAGUGCUUGGUUAUAAUGCUCACCUUAGGAUCAGAUUAAUAUUUUUAGGAAUGCAUAGGGUGCCUCCAGUCUGUCAGUAUUUUGCAGCAGAGAUUCCAGCAUAUAUAAGGAAAUUUAGAAAUGCACAAUUAAAGUGGAUUAAAGCACCUGUAGCUUUAGUGCAUCAAAACUCUACUUCACCCACACUAGAGAUGUGAAGAAAUGGAAACACUGGGGGAAACCAAUUUGGCUCCAAUUUUUCCUUAUUUGUCUCAAAAAGAUGAGAAAAACACCCCCAGAAAAAUUGAGAAAACAUGUAACCACCACCCUGUCUUCUGACCCUUGAUUCCAGGUGCAUGGGAAAUAAAAUUGUUUGCAAUAGAUCCUGACUUUUCUCUUUGCCCUUAAGUCAACAUUGCUUGUUCUUUUCCAUCAGGAGAUUCCAGGAAGACGUCAGCUUCAUAGAAGCGUAAGAAAAGCCCUGCUUCGUCAGACCAAAGGCCCAUCUAGUCCAGAAACUGGUUCUCACUGUGGCCAAUCAGAUGCCAUGGGGAAACUUGCAUGCAGGACAUGAGUGUAACAGCACUUUCCUCACUUCUGAUUCCCAGCCAUUUAUUUACCGGUAUCUAUCACAUCAGAUCAAGUUUAACUCUGCAGUGCUGGAAAAAAUACCAUUAACAUUGGGUGAUCUUCUGAGUACUCCGUUCAAGUGGAUUCAACUUUCAGUAUGGAAAAGCCAAAGAGCCAGUUGGUUAGGUUCCUGCAGUGGCUUAAACAGAGAUAGAGAAAACACACACAAGAUUGCUUAUUGUUUCAGCUCUAGUCACUGCCUCCAAGUCUUGCAGCUUCUGUAAACCCUUUGAGCUAUCAUCACCCUCAAGCGAUGACAGACAAAUCCUGGGAUCCAGUGCAGCCUUGGCCUGGAAACUCCUGAUUCUUCCUUAUCCGCCAGUUUUCUUCAUUGGCUUGUUAUAUGCUCAUAUUUCCAGUCACUGUCUAUCCCCCUGCUGAUACACUCAGCUAUCUAAUCAUCUCAAUUCUCUGCUUGUCUGUUUUUCCUCUC